rnacentral:misc_RNA from 1 species
GUGGGUGAGAAGAAAGGUGGAGAAGGAAUGUUUAGGGCAAUGGUGGUAAUGGCAGAGAAUGUGACAAGAGAUAAGAGAGGCCAGCAGUGGGAUGAUUGCCGCUGGGAAGAUCAAAUGGAGAAUGGUAGAGGGGUAGACGAGCAGGGAAAUGUUUGGGGGUAGGAGAAGAUGGUGGUGGCUUCGGAUAUUGACAUCCAAAACCAAAAACCAUAUUGCUUUUACGCCAAUGGAGGAAAAAUACGAGAAUGGGUAGAAAUAACAGCCUCCUGCACGUAUUUCUUUGAAUUACUAGGGUCUGGUGCCCAACGAAUCUCACUCAUGUUAGGUGUCUCCACAAACG